CUGCUUUUGUACGGGAAGAAACCCCACUACGUGUAGUGGGUUGACGGUACCGUGAGAAUAAGGAUCGGCUAACUUCGUGCCAGCAGCCGCGGUAAUACGAAGGAUCCAAGCGUUGUCCGGAUUUACUGGGUUUAAAGGGUGCGUAGGCGGACUUUUAAGUCAGUGGUGAAAGCCUGCAGCUUAACUGUAGAAUUGCCAUUGAAACUGAUUGUCUCGAGUGCGGUUGAGGUCACUGGAAUGUAUCAUGUAGCGGUGAAAUGCUUAGAUAUGAUACAGAACACCAAUUGCGAAGGCAGGUGACUAAGCCGUAACUGACGCUGAUGCACG
rnacentral:rRNA from 1 species